ensembl:lncRNA
CUGAAACUGUGUAGAAGUUGGGUGAUGCAACAGGACAACGACCCAAAACACCGGAGCAAGUCCACAACAGAAUGGCUUCAGAAAUGGAAUGACGUGGAGAGCCAUACACACGAGACUUCCAAAGAAUAUGACGGAGCUAAAGCAGUUCUGCCAGGAAGAAUGGGCUAAAAUUCCUCCUGAACAAUGUGCAGGUCUGAUCCACAGCUACAGGAAGCGCUUGGUUGAGGUUAUUGCUGCCGGGGGUGGGGGUGAACCAGUUAUUAAUUCUAAGGGUUCACUUACUUUUUCCACUGCCAUAUUGAAUGUUGAAUGAGCGUGUUCAAUAAAGACAUGAGGGAUCAGUUUUUUUUGUAUGUUAUUAUUUUAGACACAUUAUAUUUGUCAAUACCCUUGACUUAGAUGAAGAUCAGAUCAUAUUUUAUGACAAAUUUAUGCAGAAAACCAUGAAAUUCAAAAAGGUUCACAUACCUUUUCUUGUCACUGUAUAUGUUUGUGUGUGUGUAUAUAUAUGUGUGUGUGUGUGUGUGUAUAUAUAUAUAUAUAUAUAUAUAUAUAUAUAUAUAUAUAUAUAUAUAUAUAUAUGAAAACCAUGCAUGGUAUGGAAAAGUAAGGGUGAGGCUAAAUUCUUUGUAGGCCAGACUAGAUGCCUGCAGCUAAUAGAUUAGGUCACAUGAUUACACAGAGUGAAACUCUCCAUAAAUUUGGGUUGAUGUUUUUUUACGGCCAGCUUCUGUGACACAUGGGUUACAUAAUGUCAUCAGCAGUGAUGGAGACUGUACAUGUGAAAUACAGAGUCUGGUGUAAUCAAUGUGAAUAAACUGGAUUAUUUUCUCUUUAUUUUCUUGGAGGAGAAACUUAAAGUAGAUGGACUAAGUAGACAUUGUCCACAAAUGACACAAAAGGGCAAAAUGAUGGAACCAUAAGUUUAGUGUUACUGCCUAUCUGUCUGUGAGGUGUGUGAAGUGUGUGUGAGGUGAUAGUUUGCUUCACAUCAUUCUUAUUGCACCAUUUGAUGAUACCUUGUGAUUAUAAUGCUUUGCUCAACCUUAAUAAUUUCAUUCUCAAGCUUAUUAUAUUAGAUGUUAGUCCUCCCAUCUCUCACUGCCUAUUACUAUAUUUGUAUCCGUUGAAAUUGGUAGCAGUUUUAACAGUCAGUGCCUGUUUCCUUCCUGAAGUCUUGUUCCUCUGCUGAAAAGCCGCUAUCUUAACACUCGUCCUUUGUACUUGAGCUUGUCUCUAAACAUUUCGUCCACAUCUCACACACACGUAGCGGAAACUUUAUCUCUAGACAUAACAUUUCAGAAGCCUUUUAAGAGGAACAGGACCAUGCCGCGCCGUGGUCACACCGUGUCAUUUGAUUGGUUCCUGCGUGCUUUGCGGCUGCUCUGAUGUAAUUGAGUGCUUACGGUGAGCUCAUUCCUGACUCUUAAGGCAAAUAAAAUGCUGCGGGUCAUGGAGAGGAGUCCGUAUCAUGUUCCUGACGUCACUUUGGUUGCCAUGGGUGUGUGUUUUGCAUACACAGAGCAUGCUGCUGCUUCAGUAUGAAGUCACUCAUCUCAAGUAUGCAGCUUGGCGGGAACACUACUGUUUGGGUGUCUGGAACAGUACAUUCCUGCCUGUGCUAUUCUCCCAGAGUGCUGAAGGCCAGGAGCAUCUGCACACACUUUGAGGAGAAAGUACUUCUUUGUGAUUUAAUUGUCUAUUCAAGACUGAUCCUAGCUGUUCUAACUUCAGUGGACAGGUGAAGUGCUUGUUUGUGUAGAAAAAAAUGUUAUUAUGUCUGAUAGAAAUGUUUGGACUUUGUUUAGCAGACUUGAUUGAUGCAGUUCAUCAGAACUAAAUGAACAUCUGAAACCCUAAAACGGGGCUUAGAGCCAGAGCAAUCAGUUGUGCUCUUCUGUAACAAUAAAAGGUUUUAUGGAGUGACCUGUAUCUCACUGUGUGUUACGAUGGUGGUCAAGACAACUGUGUCAGAGCUGAAAUUUUGCAUUUGCAUCUGGCCUACAGCCUGUUAUAUGUUCCUUAAAUCAAAAUCUUUUAUCUCCUCGAUUUUCUCUCCCAAAGCUCCCAAAAGUAUCCUUCCCAGACCUUGUGUGGGUGAUCAAAGAAAAAUGUAAUUAGGGCCCAAAUAUAGCCUGUAACCUGGCACAGGAUUGAUGUGAAUUUGUUCCUCCUUUACAGAUAUUUUCUUAUCCAUGGUAAGAAAGUUCAGAUUGUGUGGUUUCCAGAUUUGCAAAUUCCCUCAUUUUAGGUAAAUCGUGGCCAUAUUGUACCAGUUCGUGCCCACAAUUUCAUAAAUCCAUCAUCCUUUUACUGUAUGGUGAUGACAGCUAUAGCUGCUGUUAUUGAUGGUGACAAUUUGAUUGAGUUUUAUUUUGAGUUAUAGAGACAUUUCAAAAGCCUUGUAUUGUAUGGAAUCUUUUUAAGUGAGAGGGACCUACAUCGCAUAUUCAGAGUCAGGGGGCUUUACCGGCAACAGGAUAGUAUCUUGGGGGCUGGGCUUGAGCGUCGGCUCUGGUGAGCCCGGGAAUUAAAGGGGUCACGCAUAGAGAGAACGAUCCUUACUCCAUGUUCUUUUCCAGGGCCUUGCAGCAGAUCAACAAUGAAGUCAACACCAGCCCCCAAGUCACCAUAUCGUCACUGGUAAAGCCCCCUGUCUGUCAGUAUGCGAUGUUGGCACGAAUUGGUAAAACAUGGCCACGAUUUACCUAAAACGAGGGAACGAAAUGAUACACCGUGUUCAUGCAUUAAUAAAUUGUGGGAACAAAUUCUUAAUUCGUGUCCAUGAUGUAUUGUUUUUUUACCUGUGUGUCAUGUGCGGAGCUCUGUAGGCAUGUGGAUGAAUGUAGAGAACACAGACACUCUCAUUUUCCAGGUUUGCUGCUCUAAGGUGUGUAUUGUUUGACGAGCAUGAUUGAACACUGAGACACAUUCACUAUCUUGCCAGACCUUAAUCCCAAAGAAAACUUGUGGGAUUAAUUGUAAUAUAGCAAGUGAAACACCAACAUAGACACCAUGAAUUCUAGUGAACUGCUGAUCCAUUCAGUGAGAGAGUGGGCUUUGACUGGAAGUAUUAUGGGUAAGAAAUGACACAAAGUUUCAGUCUGACUGCAGUGUCAACAUAUUAUUGCUCCUAUAAUGACAGUCCAUGUUUGGGUGUCUACAAGCACAAAAAGAAAAAAAAAAAUCAGAAUUUGUCACCUAUCCAUCAGGUCUCCUGGGUAAUGCUUGUCCAGUAGAUUAAGAUUAGCUUCAGUAAUUACGCACUGUCCCUGCCACAAGCUUCAAGUGAAAAGUAUAUCUAAUAGUAGGGUGACCAGACAUUCUAUUUCUUUAUGAAACUGAAAUUAUUGGUGAGGCUGUGGUUUACACAAUUUUAUUGAACUUGUUACUAUGGUAGACUACCUGACAGGAUUAGCACUGUUAUUAUGGUGUAGGGAAAUGGAACGUGGUGUUAGGAAAGAAAUGACAUUAAUGUUUUGUCAGUAGAGCUUAGUUAACGCCAUCCAUUAACCCAUCGUCAGUGCAAAAUCAUUUGUAUACACACCUGACUCUCCAAUGGACUUGUUCGCACUGUCCCUGACUUCAGCUCGAAGUAACUGAUCCACCUAGAUGUGUUUAGUUUCUAUAGCACACCCAAACACAACGUCUUUCUACAGCAUUUUCACCAAGCAAAAACUCCAAGGGAAUGUUUUACACUGUAACUGUCUCCUGUUUAGUCUGCUGAGAAGAAAUCAAAUCUUGUUUACAUUCAGAUGAAAAAACGUCUGGGUCAAGAGCAGCCUCCCAACCAGCAGUUACCGAGUUGCACUGUACAACAAGCUGAAUAAGCUUGUAAAUGUUUGUACAAAGACAUACCUAGCUGAGCUGCUUUACAUGUGGUCUUCCCUGGGCCUCACACACAUCAAGAAGAAUGAAUCUGCCUCGGUGGACUGGGGAACGCUGUUUUGUUUAAACACACUUCUGGCUUUUACCAUUCCAUUGCACAGCCAUAAAAAGAGCGCGAGUCUAAAGCCUAAAGCACAAGUAUACAGGCAGUGUACAGUUGAAAAACUGUCCAUUUGUCAACUCUUUUUGCAGCGUAUCCUUACAAAAGUCAUAAUAAGGGCUAGCGUGUAUAAUCUAAUGCUAAUAUUGUCUAAAGGAAGUAAAGAUAGACUCAUGAGAUCACACAGGAUGCCACCUAAAGUGAGAGCACUGCAGGCAGACAUGCUCUUGCAACCCAGCUAAGUUUAGCUCCCUGACCUGACAUGUAAGCGUGAUGGGAGAGCAAUAUGACAUCCUUUUUAAGGGCUUGCUGUGACUGAACACCGGAGGUGCUAUUUCAGACACUAAUCUCAUGGGUACUGUGGUUGUGUGUGUAAAUAUGUUAUUGGUCAUCUGAGCAAAAGGACCUCCAGGAGAAAAUGUAAAUGACUUACAGGAAAACAAGCAAGAAAAGGACAUCUAGAUUGGGCUGCUUAAUUUACAGUGGAUAGUUUGAACGUGACGGAAUAAAAUGUUAAGUCAAUAUUGCUUCCAGCUGUAAAUGACAUUAAUGCUCUUAAUGUGAAAGUUUUAGGAGCUCAAGUGGAGUCAAGGGGACACACACACACACACACACACACACACACACACACACACACACACACACACACACACAACCAUUAACCACUUCAAGGUGCUGAGAAACAGGAAUUGAGGCAUAUCAGAAAAUUUCUGCACAGAAACGGCCAGGAGAGGUUUUUUUAUUAUUAUUUUUUUUAAUGUACUGCCAACAGUGAUGAUCUAUGUGCCUUGAUUGAGAUCUAAAAGCACAAGAGAGUGGGAAUGUGGGAAAGGUUUGUGUGAACAGGCUGUCCCAGCUGUAGACAUAAUGCCAGAGCUGACCUGGAACUGCUGGCGGGGAAUGCGGUGCACGGAUGAAGGGUAAUAAGUUACCCAGAAUUCAGUAGUCCAGAGGGGAGCAUGAAAGGGUCAUCGGCUUCAAGAAGCCUUAUACCCAAUAGAGACCAGUAAAUUCACAUGUACACUUUGUUGUUCUAUAAUGGGUGUAAAUUAUACCCAAUGAUAUGACAACAGCGAGUUCUACAGUCUGCUUCAGUCCAGCCGUGGUGUCUGACCACCUCAAAUUAAAAGCUUUUGUAAGGAAUUGCUCCAUGUGGAGCUUCACUAAGUGCCCUGAUAUUUCACAAAACCACAGUGUCAACACCUUAUUGCUCCUAUAAUGGCAAUCUGUGUUUGGGUGUCUGCAGGCACAAAAAAGAUUUUUGAUACCACAUAUCCAUCGUGUGUCCAAGCUAUUAUUAGUACUGGUUAUUAUGUUCUGUCUAUGCUGUAAGCUCUGAGUGAGAAAUCUGUGUAAUAUUAGGAUGACAAGAUGUUCUGUAUUUUUUGGACAUGUUCUCUUUAUGAGACAUAUGAGAGGUCCAGCUGGGGAUUACGUUUUACACAGAUGACAGGUCAAAGAUAUAUUUUUGUUGGUUAAAAGCAUGACUGGUAUAAUGAUAACAACAACAACAACAAUAAUAAUAAUAAUAAUAAUAAUAAUAAAGGAACAAAAGAUUGUGGACACCUUCCAGAUUUAGUCCCCCAGUGCUGUUAUAAUAACCCCCACUCUUUUGGGAAGGCUUUAUGCUAGAUUUUGGAGCAUGGCUGUUGGGAUUUGUGCUCAUUCAGCUGCAAUAGCAUUAGUGAGGUCAGGCACUGAUGUCGGUGAGGAGGCCUGGGGCACAGUUCCAGUUCAUCCUAAAGGUGUUCAGUGGGGUUGAGGUCAGGGCUCUGUGCAGGCCACUUGAGUUUUUCCACUUCAACCUUGACAAACCAUGUCUUCAUGGAGCUCACUUCGUGCACAAGGGCAAUGUCACACUGGAACAGAUUUAGGCUCCUUAGUUCCAGUGAAGGGAAAUUGUAAUGCUACAACAUACAUAGACAUUCUAGGCAAUUCUGUGCUUCUCAAAUUUGUGGCAAAAUUUGGAGAAGGCCCACAUGUGGUAUGAUGGUCGCGUGUUCACAUACAAUUGGUGCAUAUAUAAAUACAAUAACAGAGGAUGGAUAGCAUGCAAGAGCAAAAACAAAGGACAUAGGAACCAUAAGCAGGAGCAGGACACCAUGUAUGGGAAUGGGAUGGGAGUUCAGAUGCAAACAAAUUUUAGGCAAGGCGCUAAAUAAAAUUUAUAAUUUAAACAGAGUACAGUGCAAAAGUUUUUAUGCCCAUAGGAUUCUUUAUGAUAACAAAGUAACAAAAUGGUGUAAUAAUGUAAGUCAUGACAUGCACUAGUACAGAAAUCAAAGCAAUACCAUUUCAAAAGUUUGUAGCUCCCUUUCCUGAUGUGAUCUAAAUAUUUUCUAAUAACUUGUAUGUCUACAUUUUGGCUCUCCAACCUGUUUUGCAUUCUCCUUUGGAUCCUCUCAGACCUAUCUUGAUUUAACCUUCUGUUUUAGAUUGUAGUCUUGUUUCAGGAUACACCCAUAUUUCAUUUUUAACUUCCUGGAAAUUUUUUGUUAGGCAUAAAUUGUAAAAAAAAAAAAAGUACGUUCUGGGAGGUGUACACUUUUGCACUUAACUGUACAUUCCACAGCAAGGAGAAUCUACAGCAAAUAGCUGAAUAACAAUAAAUCUAAUGAAGGUUUAAGUUGCUUGCUUACUUAACACCCCCCCCUUCCCGAGAAAAUGAAAGAAAAAAAAAUACUGACUGACCUACAUGGUCUUAGAAUAGACAAUGUGUUCUCUGUAGCUUUAUUGGCAUAGAUAGAUAUACUGUGCUUGAUUGAUCCCGCGAGAGAAAUUGUUAAAAUUAAUAGUAGCAUAAUGGCAUAAUAUUAUAUCUUGUUUUAAGCUACAUAGAAUGACCAAAAGUAUUAGAACAACACAACAAAAGUAAUAACAGAACAUACUAAACAAGCCAGUGAGUACUACUGAACAUUUAAUGGGACUCUGAUAAGGUUCAGUGAGGUCAGAGUGAUGAGUUUAAGGUUAGGAUGGUCGUUAGACAUUCUCUUGGCAUGUCAGCACUCUUGAAUCACAUUCUGUGUUAUUGGCUGGCUUUUUGGACCUCUGUGUCCAGAACAAGGAGAGUCUCAGCUCUUAAAACUCAUCAUUGCAGCCAGUUCUCCAGAUAACUUCCUCCAACAGCUUGAUUUGUCCAUUAUAUUUAUAUGCCCUUGUCUUUUUGUAAUACAAACAUUAGAAGUUUAUAUUGUAAAUAAAGAUAAAAGAAUGGAAAUUGAAAGUUGGUACUGAACCUACUUCAGGUCAUAUAAUAAAAUUUGAUUGUUUCCUGUGAAUAAAACCUGAACUGACAUGGUACCCUUUUGAGAAGGUUAACAGUAAAGCUUUUUGUAGAGAAUAUGUCCUCUUUGGUAAUGUUCCCAUAACCACGGCAUAUAAACAGAAUCCUGCUGGAAACUGGGGGAAAUCCAGAGUGCUCACCUCACCUCCAGAAUUUGUCUACCGCCGCCACGGGCCAGAUGAGAGAAGUCUGUCUGAAACACUUUUCCGACACUGCACAUGCCUGGGUUUGGUCAGAUUAUCUCCUGUCUUUGCUGUCUAGACGACACAUUAUAGUCAGGUUCGGAGAGUAUUUUGUCUACGACGUUACACAGGAUAAAAAGAGAAUUACAGCAGACCAUAUUUCAACACUCAUCCUGCUCAGACUGAUAAAUGUCCAGCAGGUUCCCCCCCUCUCUAUGUGCUUAUCUGGGCAAAGUGACAAAAGAUAUCUCUGUUAGUCUGCUAUGAUUGUGUAUGAAACAAGAGAAUCUCCUAGAUUUUUGCAAGUAAGGGGUACAGUGAGAUCAGACAUGUCUUAUUUCAGGAAAAUGUUGCUGGCAUUUAAUAAAUCAUAAAAAUGUGUGUACGUGUCACCUUUCAUACUCGUGCAUAUUGUAUAUGUAUAAUACUGUACAUUCACAUGCAAGACUUUAAAUAUACAGUGUAACUUAUAAUUUAUGGUAAGAGUAUCAUAUAGGGCAGUGAUUCUGCCAACUGGAAUUACAAAUGAGUUUAGAGCAAGGAUUUGGUGUAUUUUUGUCAGAUAUGAGUAUGUAAAAAGUGCAGGAAUGGCAGAAUUGUAUUUGUAUGGGAGAGCCAGGGCGGUGUGGAUCCCCAUGGCUGUGCUGGAAGUAAGGAGUCAGGUUUUUUUUUAAACAGCACUCUGUGUCUAGUGCCAGAAGGGAAGCAAGGACUCACAUGUCAGCAGGGUCUCACGACUAUUUCUCUCUUUCUCCCCCAUGUCCAACAACAAGCUGUCCAGGAACCUGUGGUAAAUUAGCUGCUCCAAACCUAUGACCUGAAGACUAAUCCUCUUAAGACACUUGGCACACAGAAUGGAGCAGAAAUAUAAUUCUUUGGACAAUGUACCAAAUUCAUCCUCAGCAUGCUUUCCAAAACCAAAAACACGGCAGCUUAAGCUUAAACUUUCACAGCCUCUAAUGACAGAAGCACCAUUUUGUUGUGUUCUGUUAAGUAUUAGUCACAUUUAUUUUACUACCUUGUAGAAGAAAGAAGAAUGCUUGGCUCCACUGUUAUCCAGUGUAUUACACUAUGUAGAAUAAACCAUAAGAAUGUUUCAGUCAUAAAUAAAAGUAAUUUAGACUCAUAAAUGCACAAUAGUUGAAAGGGGGUUUAAGAGGCUGUAACAUUGGCCAUUUAUUACUUUUCCAGCAAAUACAUAAUCAGCAUGGCCACCUGUUCUGUGAAGCUUAGGAUUCAUACGUUUGAGUGCACUUUAUUAUGGCACGAUGAAACCAACAUGACAUUUAAUGCAAGCUAGGCUUUACCGGUCCCUGUAGGAUUUUGCGAUCACAGAAAUGAACACAAAAUCAUGCAAACUCCGCAAUAAUAUUUGGAGCCGCUUACAAAUUUUCAAAAUGACUCACAGCUUUUCCGCAGAUUCGGGCCAAGACGCAUCAUGUGACAUCAUCACAACGCGCAUUCAGCCGAAGUUCUCUUCGAUUCAUGCGCAUCGAACAUAGUACAGCUAAAAAGUUGCAUUUACCAACAAACUUCACUGUCACAAAAGACUGUGCGAAACAAUUUCGGGCAAUUCAAGUAGUAUUCCACAAAAAACAUACAAAAAUUUAAUCGCACAUUUUGAAGGAAGAAAAAAAAACGUAGUAAAAUCAACCAUUUUUGGCAGCAACAAUCACAAAAAAUGCUGCAAAAUCCUGUAUGGACUGCUUUACAGUGAGAAUACAAUGAGAAAAAAUAGUUUCACAAUUAAUUUAGAUAUUAAUUGUGAAAAAAAUAAAAUGGCAUUUCUGAAAGUGAUAUCAAUCUGGUCUUUUAUUAGACUAACUGGAUUUUUCCAAAUCUGUCUAGCCAUUUACAAUAAUAAUUCU